AGUCUGCAAAGAUUCGUUUAGCUCUCUCAUGGCAGACCUCUGGCCGCAUUGGCCACCUUUAAUGGCACAUUGUAGGCCAUCUUGGCGCAUGGCUAGCCUCAGAAAUUGUUGUCUUUUUAUUGCUGUCUCUCUCUCUCUCUUUUUUUCGUUGAAGGUGCCAACGUUUCAAGUUGUUGGCCCGCCGAGUCUGUUUUUUCUAGACUUAUUGUCAGGCCAAGCCCAGCUCUUGACUGGCGUUGACUGGAGCUGGCUCCGCUAAUGAACGGCACCAAAAACGUGCCAACUGGCUCAAAAUCAAUUAGUAAAGCCGUCUCACAGCUCAACCGGACCAAACGCUUCCUCAACCCUCUGCGCCAUUUGUCAGUUUUGUGUGAAACCGCAUUCAGCCAGAAACAAAUUCGCAACUUGGUCAUGUGCAUUCCACCCACGAAACGAGUGCAAGUAGGCUAAAAGCGUCGACUGACGACAGCUCAGUUUAGCUUCACCUCUCGGUGGGCACUCAAGAUAGCUUAGACUAUUGCCCAUAAAUAUAUAGAGACAAAAUAUAUUGGUGCAGCUAUCAAUAACUAUCGGUCUUAUUUUUAAGGCCCUUGGCCCAUGGAUUGCACAUCGUGCGCAUCUCCUUCACACUGCAUCAAAAGUUAUGCAGUCUGGCAGGCUUUUGCAAUCAACACCUGAACACGAGCUUCAAGGCACCUAUCAAUCUACGUCCAGGGUGAAACGGCUAUUAUGGUGCUGUCAUUUCACACCAUCAGCGAACCAGGCUCAUGCGCAGCGCGGUGCCAGUUCAAUUCGCUUCAUAUGUGCCGGGCCAUUCCUUGCCAUUCUGACGUCAAGCAACGCGCUGGCAAUCGAGUGCGACAGGCUGGCUUUGCAACUGAUGGACCUGAACCUGCUGGCUGAGGCUUGUCGCCCUGUCGACUCUUGAUGUGGAGAUGUUGCCCUGAAACUCCUACACAAAACAAACAAAAAAAUGGGAUUUGAUGCCUUGUCUUUACAAGGGCAGAGUGAAAAACAUCAAACAGCGAUACGAUUGUCUUACUAAGCAGUUCAACUACAGUAAACUGUUUGGGCAUCAGCUCUAGCGAAUGGAAAAAUAAAUGGAUAUGGAAGAGGUGAAUGAAACACAUAAAUGAUAUAGAUUUUAAUAGAUUUGUAUUUAAUAAUAACUUAUAAAAGAAUGCAAAAUCUCGUAAAUUCGUAUUCAUAUGGAGUAAAAGAAGUAUUAAAAAAAUACCUUUUUACCAUACGGAUACGGCUAAUUAUUUUGAUUGACGCAUUGCCAUGAUUCCAAUAGUGAGCAUAAACAAAUAUUCCGCUAGGAAUCGUAUGCUUCAUCUUGAUUGUUCCAGGAACUGUUACUGCAUUCGCAAUUGACAGCAUGAGAUUGGUUAGCAAAACACCGAACGAAUUGACGAUGGCAUCUACAGUGGCCUCCGUGAUGUCGAUUGGAAUGUCUAGCAGCAGGCCACACACAUUCAAUUUCAUGAUUAUCUCAGCUGCACAUUGGAAAGGCAGAAAUGUGAUUUCAAUCAUAAUGAUGUGCAGCCAGAGAUAUGUUGACACCGCUUUAAGUGUCGAGUUGCUAGACAAUGAACGACAAUAUCGAACUACAGAAACUCUUUGGCAAUAUAUUGUCAUAUGAAGCAGAUGCGCGUUAAUAUGGCUCAUUCCCAAAAUGGCCUUCAAUGCCUGGACCACAAUGAGGAACCAAACAGCAUUCCUUAUGUAAGCCAAAUCCUGCAGCUCAUUUUUUUUUUUUUUUUUUAUCUGGCAUCACAGGCUAAAAAUAGUAUAUAGAGCACAAAGUUCGUGCCAUGAAUACAACAUGGCUUUUGGGGCGAGUUCGCAUCUCUCCUCAAGCGGAAAUUUUGCUGUCCGUUGGAAAAGCAAAACAAAACUUUUUUAAUUCAAAUGAUAGCAUUAACUAAAUUUUUGUUUGCUGUACUUUAAUGCAUUGUUCUCAAAAUGAAUGUUUCACUAAUUGUAGUUUAAAACUCAGUUAAAUAAUGCUUGGUAUAUAUGUAAUAUUAUGAUUAAAUAAAAAGUUUUUUUGUAUCAAACUCAAUUUAGUUUUUUAGAAAGUACAUUA